rnacentral:rRNA from 1 species
UUGACGGGGCCCGCACAGCGGUGAGCAUGUGGUUUAAUUCGACGCAACGCGAAGAACCUUACCAGGGCUUGACAUCCCCUGACCGCGUAUGAAAGUACGUUUUCACCCUCGGGUGACAGGGAGACAGGUGGUGCAUGGUUGUCGUCAGCUCGUGUCGUGAGAUGUUGGGUUAAGUCCCGCAACGAGCGCAACCCCUACGUUUAGUUGCUAACGCGUGAAGGCGAGCACUCUAGACGAACUGCCGUUGACAAAACGGAGGAAGUGGGGAUGACGUCAAAUCAUCAUGCCCCUUAUGUUCUGGGCUACACACGUGCUACAAUGGCCGGUACAGACGGACGCAAAGCCGCGAGGCGGAGCAAAUCCGAAAAAGCCGGUCUCAGUUCGGAUUGCAGGCUGCAAUUCGCCUGCAUGAAGUCGGAAUCGCUAGUAAUCGCAGGUCAGCAUACUGCGGUGAAUACGUUCCCGGGCCUU